rnacentral:rRNA from 1 species
CGCGGCCUAUCAGCUUGUUGGUGGGGUAGUGGCUUACCAAGGCUUUGACGGGUAGCCGGCCUGAGAGGGUGACCGGCCACAUUGGGACUGAGAUACGGCCCAGACUCCUACGGGAGGCAGCAGUGGGGAAUAUUGCACAAAGGGCGGAAGCCUGAUGCAGCAACGCCGCGUGCGGGAUGACGGCCUUCGGGUUGUAAACCGCUUUCGCCUGUGACGAAGCGUGAGUGACGGUAAUGGGUAAAGAAGCACCGGCUAACUACGUGCCAGCAGCCGCGGUGAUACGUAGGGUGCGAGCGUUGUCCGGAUUUAUUGGGCGUAAAGGGCUCGUAGGUGGUUGAUCGCGUCGGAAGUGUAAUCUUGGGGCUUAACCCUGAGCGUGCUUUCGAUACGGGUUGACUUGAGGAAGGUAGGGGAGAAUGGAAUUCCUGGUGGAGCGGUGGAAUGCGCAGAUAUCAGGAGGAACACCAGUGGCGAAGGCGGUUCUCUGGGCCUUUCCUGACGCUGAGGAGCGAAAGCGUGGGGAGCGAACAGGCUUAGAUACCCUGGUAGUCCGCGCUGUAAACGGUGGGUACUAGGUGUGGGUCCAUUCCACGGGUUCCGUGCCGUAGCUAACGCUUUAAGUACCCCGCCUGGGGAGUACGG